rnacentral:tRNA from 1 species
GCACUAGUAGCUCAAACUUAGAGCGUCGGCCUUGUAAGCCGACGGUUGGAGGUUAGAAUCCCCCCUACUGCU